rnacentral:rRNA from 1 species
GUGAAAUUCCGUCGGAAUCUGGGAGGACCAUCUCCUAAGGCUAAAUACUCUCUAGUGACCGAUAGUGAACCAGUACCGUGAGGGAAAGGUGAAAAGCACCCCGGAAGGGGAGUGAAAUAGAACCUGAAACCGUGUGCUUACAAGUAGUCAGAGCCCGUUAAUGGGUGAUGGCGUGCCUUUUGUAGAAUGAACCGGCGAGUUACGAUUUGAUGCAAGGUUAAGCAGUAAAUGUGGAGCCGUAGCGAAAGCGAGUCUGAAUAGGGCGUUUAGUAUUUGGUCGUAGACCCGAAACCAGGUGAUCUACCCUUGGUCAGGUUGAAGUUCAGGUAACACUGAAUGGAGGACCGAACCGACUUACGUUGAAAAGUGAGCGGAUGAACUGAGGGUAGCGGAGAAAUUCCAAUCGAACCUGGAGAUAGCUGGUUCUCUCCGAAAUAGCUUUAGGGCUAGCCUCAAGUGAUGAUUAUUGGAGGUAGAGCACUGUUUGGACGAGGGGCCCCUCUCGGGUUACCGAAUUCAGACAAACUCCGAAUGCCAAUUAAUUUAACUUGGGAGUCAGAACAUGGGUGAUAAGGUCCGUGUUCGAAAGGGAAACAGCCCAGACCACCAGCUAAGGUCCCAAAAUAUAUGUUAAGUGGAAAAGGAUGUGGCGUUGCCCAGACAACUAGGAUGUUGGCUUAGAAGCAGCCAUCAUUUAAAGAGUGCGUAAUAGCUCACUAGUCGAGUGACACUGCGCCGAAAAUGUACCGGGGCUAAACAUAUUACCGAAGCUGUGGAUUGUCCUUUGGACAAUGGUAGGAGAGCGUUCUAAGGGCGUUGAAGCAUGAUCGUAAGGACAUGUGGAGCGCUUAGAAGUGAGAAUGCCGGUGUGAGUAGCGAAAGACGGGUGAGAAUCCCGUCCACCGAUUGACUAAGGUUUCCAGAGGAAGGCUCGUCCGCUCUGGGUUAGUCGGGUCCUAAGCUGAGGCCGACAGGCGUAGGCGAUGGAUAACAGGUUGAUAUUCCUGUACCACCUAUAAUCGUUUUAAUCGAUGGGGGGACGCAGUAGGAUAGGCGAAGCGUGCGAUUGGAUUGCACGUCUAAGCAGUAAGGCUGAGUAUUAGGCAAAUCCGGUACUCGUUAAGGCUGAGCUGUGAUGGGGAGAAGACAUUGUGUCUUCGAGUCGUUGAUUUCACACUGCCGAGAAAAGCCUCUAGAUAGAAAAUAGGUGCCCGUACCGCAAACCGACACAGGUAGUCAAGAUGAGAAUUCUAAGGUGAGCGAGCGAACUCUCGUUAAGGAACUCGGCAAAAUGACCCCGUAACUUCGGGAGAAGGGGUGCUCUUUAGGGUUAACGCCCAGAAGAGCCGCAGUGAAUAGGCCCAAGCGACUGUUUAUCAAAAACACAGGUCUCUGCUAAACCGUAAGGUGAUGUAUAGGGGCUGACGCCUGCCCGGUGCUGGAAGGUUAAGAGGAGUGGUUAGCUUCUGCGAAGCUACGAAUCGAAGCCCCAGUAAACGGCGGCCGUAACUAUAACGGUCCUAAGGUAGCGAAAUUCCUUGUCGGGUAAGUUCCGACCCGCACGAAAGGCGUAACGAUUUGGGCACUGUCUCAACGAGAGACUCGGUGAAAUCAUAGUACCUGUGAAGAUGCAGGUUACCCGCGACAGGACGGAAAGACCCCGUGGAGCUUUACUGUAGCCUGAUAUUGAAAUUCGGCACAGCUUGUACAGGAUAGGUAGGAGCCUUUGAAACGUGAGCGCUAGCUUACGUGGAGGCGCUGGUGGGAUACUACCCUAGCUGUGUUGGCUUUCUAACCCGCACCACUUAUCGUGGUGGGAGACAGUGUCAGGCGGGCAGUUUGACUGGGGCGGUCGCCUCCUAAAAGGUAACGGAGGCGCUCAAAGGUUCCCUCAGAAUGGUUGGAAAUCAUUCAUAGAGUGUAAAGGCAUAAGGGAGCUUGACUGCGAGACCUACAAGUCGAG